rnacentral:rRNA from 1 species
UACGAGGGGGGCGAGCGUUGUUCGGAAUUAUUGGGCGUAAAGGGUGCGUAGGCGGUUUGGUAAGUCUUGUGUGAAAUCUACAGGCUCAACUUGUAGUCUGCACGAGAAACUGCCGGGCUUGAGUGUGGGAGAGGUGAGUGGAAUUCCUGGUGUAGCGGUGAAAUGCGUAGAUAUCAGGAGGAACACCUGUGGCGAAAGCGGCUCACUGGACCGCAACUGACGCUGAGGCGCGAAAGCUAGGGGAGCAAACAGG